AGCGAACGCUGGCGGCAGGCUUAACACAUGCAAGUCGAACGGGUGCAGCAAUGCAUCAGUGGCAGACGGGUGAGUAACACGUGGGAACCUUCCUAGGGGUACGGAACAACUCAGGGAAACUUGAGCUAAUACCGUAUACGUCCGUGAGGAGAAAGAUUUAUCGCCCUUAGACGGGCCCGCGUCGGAUUAGCUAGUUGGUGGGGUGACGGCCUACCAAGGCGACGAUCCGUAGCUGAUCUUAGAGGAUGAUCAGCCACACUGGGACUGAGACACGGCCCAGACUCCUACGGGAGGCAGCAGUGGGGAAUCUUGGACAAUGGGGGCAACCCUGAUCCAGCCAUGCCGCGUGAGUGAAGAAGGUCUUCGGAUUGUAAAGCUCUUUUGCCAGGGACGAUAAUGACGGUACCUGGAGAAUAAGCCCCGGCAAACUUCGUGCCAGCCGCCGCCGUAAGAC
rnacentral:rRNA from 1 species